rnacentral:rRNA from 1 species
GGGCCCGCACAAGCAGCGGAGCAUGUGGCUUAAUUCGACGCAACGCGAAGAACCUUACCAAGGCUUGACAUCCCUUGACAGCGCUUGAAAGAGCGAAUCUCUUCGGAGCAAGGAGACAGGUGGUGCAUGGUUGUCGUCAGCUCGUGUCGUGAGAUGUUGGGUUAAGUCCCGCAACGAGCGCAACCCCUACAUUCAGUUACCAGCGGGUCAAGCCGGGGACUCUGGAUGGACUGCCGAGGCACAACUCGGAGGAAGGUGGGGACGACGUCAAAUCAUCAUGCCCCUUACGUCUUGGGCUGCACACGUGCUACAAUGGCCGUAACAGAGGGAAGCGAGAGGGUAACCUGGAGCGGAACCGAAAAAAGCGGUCUCAGUUCGGAUUGUGGGCUGCAACCGCCCACAUGAAGUCGGAGUUGCUAGUAAUCGCGAAUCAGCAUGUCG